rnacentral:rRNA from 1 species
UACGGAGGGUGCAAGCGUUAUCCGGAUUCACUGGGUUUAAAGGGUGCGUAGGCGGGCAGGUAAGUCAGUGGUGAAAUCUUCGAGCUUAACUCGGAAACUGCCGUUGAUACUAUCUGUCUUGAAUGUUGUGGAGGUGAGCGGAAUAUGUCAUGUAGCGGUGAAAUGCUUAGAUAUGACAUAGAACACCCAUUGCGAAGGCAGCUCACUACGCAACAAUUGACGCUGAGGCACGAAAGCGUGGGGAGCAAACAGG